GAUGAAGAACGUAGCGAAACGCGAUAUGUAAUGUGAAUUGCAGAAUUCAGUGAAUCAUCGAAUCUUUGAACGCACAUGGCGCCUUCCAGUAUCCUGGGAGGCAUGCCUGUCCGAGCGUCGUUUCAACCCUCGAGCCCCCGUGGCCCGGCGUUGGGGAUCUGCCACGGCAGGCCCCUAAAACCAGUGGCGGACCCGAAGGCCCUCUCCUUUGCGCAGUAGCAUCAGCCUCGCAUUGGGAUCCCUCGGCGUCCUGCCUCUAAACCCCCCACAAGUCCGCUCCGGCGGCACCAAGGUUGACCUCGGAUCAGGUAGGAAUACCCGCUGAACUUAAGCAUAUCAAUAGCGGAGGA
rnacentral:misc_RNA from 1 species